rnacentral:lncRNA from 1 species
AUAAAAAUGUUGUCAAUAAAAUAGAAUAUGAAAAAAAAAAAUUCUUACAAUCUAUAAAUGAUUUAGAACAAAAAAUAAAAUUAAUUCAAAUUGAAUUAAUUAAUAAUAAAGCUUAUUUAACUAAUUAUAAAAAUACGACAAUAAGUGGUGAUGAUAAUAAUGAUAGUGAUAAAGAUGAUGAUGAAAUGGAUAAUAGUCAACCUGAUUUAGAAAAAAAAAAAAAAAAAAAAAGAAAAAUUUUUUUUUUUUUUGGUCAUCAUCAAAAAACAAUAACGAUGACGAAAAAUGUAAAACAAAUAAAAAUGACGACAUACCCAACAAUGAUUUUAUAACUAAGAAUAUGAUUAUGGUGAAAAAUUUACAAAAAGAGCUAGACCUGUUAAAAAAUAGUGUCAAAAAAUCAGACACGUUUUUGGAUGAUGUGUUUCCAACUUUCGAAAAUAACUUAGUAAAAAAUGUAGAAAAUAAAAUAAAAAAAUAUUUAGAAAUAUAUAAAAGAGAUAUAAUCAACGAAAUAAAUGAGUCAAAAAUUAUAUAUAACGAAGAAAAAUAUAAAAUUAUAGAACUAAAACAAGAAAAAAUACAAAAAGAGUUACUAGUCAUGAUAGACAAUCAAAUAAAAACACAAACAAACAUGAUCAGAGAAGAUUUUAAUAAAACAUUUACAAAUCUGUUAGAAAAUAGUGUUAGUAGUGGCAAAAAAAACGAGUCUACAUAUGCCCCUCAAAUAAAUACAAAAAAUUAUAGCUCGUUUGAAAUAUUACAACAAAGAGUAAACGAAUUAUAUAAUGAAUUUAUAUUAGAUUACAAUCAAAUAGACUGGGCUUUAGAAUCGUUAGGUGCUAGAAUUGUAUAUAAAAUGACUAGCUCUCCAUUAAAUAAAAACGAUUUUAUUGAAAACUUUUUAAAUAAAAUUGCAUAUUUUUUACCAUCAGAAGAAAUAUAUGGUAUGAUUAAACCAAUGGGUAAAGAUCCUUCUAUUAUUCUCAAACCAAAUAAUUACCCAGGUGACUGUUUUUCUUUUUAUGGUAAUAAAGGUAAAAUAACAAUACACUUACCUGCAACUAUUGAUUUAUCAUCUGUAUCUAUUCAACAUGUACAUGAAAAUAUUAGUAAUAAUUUAAAUGCAACACCCAAAUAUUUUUCUGUUUAUGGUGUUAUCGAUUCGAACUGGCCUGAACAUUUUGAACAAGAAGAUGUUGAUUUUGAUGAUUAUAAAAAUAGUUCUUUAUACUCAUGUUUACAUUCUGUUUAUAACAGUAUGCAACCUGCCAUACUCUUGAAAAAAUGGUUAGAAAAUGAAAAAAAACCGAAUGUUAUACAUAUUGGAGAUUUUUAUUUUGAUCGGAAAAAGAGAAUAGCAAAUUAUCCCAUCAAGCAUUGUUUGCCCGUUAAAAGGUAAGGCGCGACAAAAUCAGAGCUACCACAGUAGGACAUGUGUUCAAAUAGGUGUGUACAG